rnacentral:rRNA from 1 species
GACGAACGCUGGCGGCGCGCUUAACACAUGCAAGUCGAGCGAAGCGGCGGACGGGUGAGUAACACGUGAGUAACCUGCCUUAGACAUUGGGAUAGCCUCGGGAAACCGGGAUUAAUACCAAAUGGUCUAAGAUGGACUCGCGUCCCAUUAGCGAGUUGGUGGGGUAACGGCCCACCAAGGCGACGAUGGUUAGACGGCCUGAGCAGGUGAACUGCCACGUGGGAACUGGGAAACGGGCCAAACUCUACGGGAGGCGGCAGUGGGGAAAAUUGCACAAUGGAUGGAACGCUGAUGCAGCGGCGCCGCGUGAUCGCUUAGGGCGUUCGAGUUGUACACCUCUUUCAUAUCGAACCCUAUAGGGUGGGUUGAGGGUAGGUGGAGAAGAAGCGCCGGCUAACUACGUGCCAGCAGCCGCGGUAAUAC